AUUGAACGCUGGCGGCAUGCCUUACACAUGCAAGUCGAACGGCAGCAUGGAGAGCUUGCUCUCUGAUGGCGAGUGGCGAACGGGUGAGUAAUGCAUCGGAACGUACCGUGUAAUGGGGGAUAACGUAGCGAAAGUUACGCUAAUACCGCAUACGACCUGAGGGUGAAAGCAGGGGAUCGCAAGACCUUGCGUUAUACGAGCGGCCGAUGUCAGAUUAGCUAGUUGGUGAGGUAAAGGCUCACCAAGGCGACGAUCUGUAGCGGGUCUGAGAGGAUGAUCCGCCACACUGGGACUGAGACACGGCCCAGACUUCUACGGGAGGCAGCAGUGGGGAAUUUUGGACAAUGGGGGCAACCCUGAUCCAGCCAUGCCGCGUGAGUGAAGAAGGCCUUCGGGUUGUAAAGCUCUUUCGGCCGGGAAGAAAUCGCACAGGCUAAUACUCUGUGUGGAUGACGGUACCGGCAUAAGAAGCACCGGCUAACUACGUGCCAGCAGCCGCCGUAA
rnacentral:rRNA from 1 species